rnacentral:rRNA from 1 species
UACGAAGGGGGCUAGCGUUGCUCGGAAUCACUGGGCGUAAAGGGUGCGUAGGCGGGUCUUUAAGUCAGGGGGGAAAUCCUGGAGCUCAACUCCAGAACUGCCUUUGAUACUGAGGAUCUUGAGUUCGGGAGAGGUGAGUGGAACUGCGAGUGUAGAGGUGAAAUUCGUAGAUAUUCGCAAGAACACCAGUGGCGAAGGCGGCUCACUGGCCCAUAACUGACGCUGAGGCACGAAAGCGUGGGGAGCAAACAGG